AAGUCGUAACAAGGUUUCCGUAGGUGAACCUGCGGAAGGAUCAUUACUGAUGAACGGGGACGUUGUUGUGCUGUGCUGUGUUGUGUGGUUCGCCAUGCAGCAGCAGCAGCGCGGCGGCGUGCUCCUUCAGCUCCACUAGAGGCCGGGUCCUUUGCUUGGGUCCGGACAGAAGGCUGAUGCAUAGCUUCUAAGAUGCUUGCGCCGCACACAGUCCUUGCCUCGCGAAACAAAAGUGACGGCGGAAGCGCCUUUACAAACAACUAUCUACUUCUCUCCUUCUAACGCAACCAAAAAGUCAUCUCUUGCAGACGACGAAUCAACCAAAUCAAAACUUUUGACAACGGAUCUCUUGGCUCUC
rnacentral:misc_RNA from 1 species